AAAGGCGGAGCUGAACGGGAACCUUCGCUGUAGCCAAUCACCAUCAAGCACUGUUCACCUACGCGGGCACUCACGGACUCAACCGGCAGUUCAACGGUCUAGCUGUUUUGGCGGUGUAGCGACGCCGGGUGCAGGAGGAUCGACUAUGGCUUCACAGUCCAGCGACAGUCAAAGACGUGUCCCUACAGAAAAGAUUCUUCACGCUAGAAAUAAGAUGGAGCUGGGACUGAGGCUUUUGGAGAAGAUUAGGAAAAACAUACAGACAACGAUGAAAUCUCCGCGAAUAUAGGCCUAUUGCUGAGGUCGCUCAUGAUAGUGAUUCACAACCCAGGCAAGAGAAAAAUCAGAACCCAAGUGAAAAUGCAGACUGACAACCACAGCGUAAGAAGAAGGCAAGUUCUUGUGGAAAACAUUUCUAGACUGGGUUUUUGCUAAGGUAGAGUGCGAAUGUCAAAUAAUUGGUUAGAAAUAUAAUCAGAAAUCAAAGAAAU